UUCAUCAUAUGUUAGUGAAGGAUGCAACAAUGCAUUAAAACAGAAUUUUCAUUUUUUAAAAAUUUUCUCGAAAUCUAUGAGUUAACCCCUACGAAAAUAUUGAAUUUUUAGGUAAAUGAUAUAUAUACUUAAGUCUAUGAUCUUUAGUGUUGUUUUAAAAUUUCUAUACACAUUCUACAAUUGUAUUAAUGUACAUUAAACUCUUUCUCAUGGUACGUGGACAUCAUUUUAAUUUUUUGUCAAUUAAUUUAGUAAAACUUCAUAAUACUCCCUAAAUUGGUGGACUAACCACUAUAAAAUCGCUAUUUUCUUAAGAAACCGAGACAACAAAAGUUCCAAAUUUCUAUGGCCUUCAUCAUAUGUUAGUGAAGGAUGCAACUAUACAUUAAAACAGAAUUUUCAUUUUUAUAAUUUUUUCUCGAAAUCUAUGAGUUAACCCAUAC